rnacentral:rRNA from 1 species
GACGAACGCUGGCGGCGUGCUUAACACAUGCAAGUCGAACGGAAAGGCCCUGCUUUUGUGGGGUGCUCGAGUGGCGAACGGGUGAGUAACACGUGAGUAACCUGCCCUUGACUUUGGGAUAACUUCAGGAAACUGGGGCUAAUACCGGAUAGGAGCUCCUGCUGCAUGGUGGGGGUUGGAAAGUUUCGGCGGUUGGGGAUGGACUCGCGGCUUAUCAGCUUGUUGGUGGGGUAGUGGCUUACCAAGGCUUUGACGGGUAGCCGGCCUGAGAGGGUGACCGGCCACAUUGGGACUGAGGUACGGCCCAGACUCCUACGGGAGGCAGCAGUGGGGAAUAUUGCACAAUGGGCGGAAGCCUGAUGCAGCAACGCCGCGUGCGGGAUGACGGCCUUCGGGUUGUAAACCGCUUUCGCCUGUGACGAAGCGUGAGUGACGGUAAUGGGUAAAGAGGCACCGGCUAACUACGUGCCAGCAGCCGCGGUGAUACGUAGGGUGCGAGCGUUGUCCGGAUUUAUUGGGCGUAAAGGGCUCGUAGGUGGUUGAUCGCGUCGGAAGUGUAAUCUUGGGGCUUAACCCUGAGCGUGCUUUCGAUACGGGUUGACUUGAGGAAGGUAGGGGAGAAUGGAAUUCCUGGUGGAGCGGUGGAAUGCGCAGAUAUCAGGAGGAACACCAGUGGCGAAGGCGGUUCUCUGGGCCUUUCCUGACGCUGAGGAGCGAAAGCGUGGGGAGCGAACAGGCUUAGAUACCCUGGUAGUCCACGCUGUAAACGGUGGGUACUAGGUGUGGGGUCCAUUCCACGGGUUCCGUGCCGUAGCUAACGCUUUAAGUACCCCGCCUGGGGAGUACGGCCGCAAGGCUAAAACUCAAAGGAAUUGACGGGGCCCCGCACAAGCGGCGGAGCAUGCGGAUUAAUUCGAUGCAACGCGUAGAACCUUACCUGGGUUUGACAUGGAUCGGGAGCGCUCAGAGAUGGGUGUGCCUCUUUUGGGGUCGGUUCACAGGUGGUGCAUGGCUGUCGUCAGCUCGUGUCGUGAGAUGUUGGGUUAAGUCCCGCAACGAGCGCAACCCUUGUUCACUGUUGCCAGCACGUUAUGGUGGGGACUCAGUGGAGACCGCCGGGGUCAACUCGGAGGAAGGUGGGGAUGACGUCAAGUCAUCAUGCCCCUUAUGUCCAGGGCUUCACGCAUGCUACAAUGGCUGGUACAGAGAGUGGCGAGCCUGUGAGGGUGAGCGAAUCUCGGAAAGCCGGUCUCAGUUCGGAUUGGGGUCUGCAACUCGACCUCAUGAAGUCGGAGUCGCUAGUAAUCGCAGAUCAGCAACGCUGCGGUGAAUACGUUCCCGGG